rnacentral:rRNA from 1 species
AUGAACGCUAGCGGCAGGCUUAACACAUGCAAGUCGAGGGGUAGAAGGAGCUUGCUCCUUUGAGACCGGCGCACGGGUGCGUAACGCGUAUGCAAUCUACCUUUCACAAAGGGAUAGCCCAGAGAAAUUUGGAUUAAUACCUUAUAGUAAUACGACUUGGCAUCAUGAUGUAUUUAAAGAUUUAUCGGUGAAAGAUGAGCAUGCGUCCCAUUAGCUUGUUGGUAAGGUAACGGCUUACCAAGGCAACGAUGGGUAGGGGUCCUGAGAGGGAGAUCCCCCACACUGGUACUGAGACACGGACCAGACUCCUACGGGAGGCAGCAGUGAGGAAUAUUGGACAAUGGGCGCAAGCCUGAUCCAGCCAUGCCGCGUGCAGGAUGACGGUCCUAUGGAUUGUAAACUGCUUUUAUACAGGAAGAAACACUCCGACGUGUCGGAGCUUGACGGUACUGUAAGAAUAAGGAUCGGCUAACUCCGUG